AGUUCGAUUAUGGCUCAGAUUGAACGCUGGCGGGAUGCUUUACACAUGCAAGUCGAACGGCAGCACGGACUUCGGUCUGGUGGCGAGUGGCGAACGGGUGAGUAAUGUCGGAACGUGCCUAGUAGCCAGGGAUAACUACGCGAAAGCGUAGCUAAUACCGCAUACGCCCUUCGGGGAAAAGCGGGGGACCUUCGGGCCUCGCACUAUUGAAACAGCCGAUAUCAGUUAGCUAGUUGGUGGGGUAACGGCUCACCGGAGGCGACGAUCCGUAGCUGGUUUGAGAGGACGACCAAGCCACACUAGGACCCAGAGACACGGCCCAGACUCCUACAGGAGGCAGCAGUGAAAUUUUUGGCAAUGAAGCCUGAGUCAGCCAUCCCGCUGAAGUAUUACGUGGCCCGCUGGGUUGUAAAACGCUUUGGCAGGAAAACGGCACGGGAUAAUACCCCGUGCAACUGACGGUACCUGCAGAAUAAGCACCGGCUAACUACGUGCCAGCAGCCGCGGUAAUACGUAGGGUGCAAGCGUUAAUCGGAAUUACUGGGCGUAAAGCGUGCGCAGGCGGUUCCGGAAGAAAGAUGUGAAAUCCCAGAGCUUAACUUUGGAACUGCAUUUUAACGCUACCGAGCUAGAGUGUGUCAGAGGUGGAGUGUGUAGCAGGUGAAAUGCGUAGAUAUGCGGAGGGGAACACCGAUGGCGAAGGCAGCCUCCUGGGAUAACACUGACGUUCAUGCACGAAAGCGUAGAGCAAACAGGAUUAGAUACCCUGGUAGUCCACGCCCUAAACGAUGUCAACUAGCUGUUGGGGCCUUCGGGCCUUGGUAGCGCAACGCGUGAAGUUGACCGCCUGGGAAGUACGGUCGCAAGAUUAAAACUCAAAGGAAUUGACGGGGACCCGCACAAGCGGUGGAUGAUGUGGAUUAAUUCGAUGCAACGCGAAAAACCUUACCUACCCUUGACAUGUCUGGAAUCCCGAAGAGAUUUGGGAGUGCUCGCAAGAGAACCGGAACACCGGAAGUCUUCAUGGCUGUCGUCAGCUCGUGUCGUGAGAUGUUGGGUUAAGUCCGCAACGAGCGCAACCCUUGUCAUUAGUUGCUACGAAGGGCACUCUAAUGAGACUGUCGGUGACAAACCGGAGGAAGGUGGGGAUGACGUCAAGUCCUCAUGGCCCUUAUGGGUAGGGCUUCACGUCUUACAAUGGUCGGACAAGAGGGAUCGCCAACCCCGCGAGAAGCCAAUCCCAGAAGCCGAUCGUAGUUCGGAUCGCAGUCUGCAACUCGACUGCGUGAAGUCCGGAAUCGCUAGUAAUCGCGGAUCAGCAUGUCGCGGUGCAGAUGCGUUCCCAGGUCUUAUACACACUUAGAUAACACCAUGGAGUGGGUUUUACCAGAAGUAGUUAGCCUAACCGUAGGCGAUUACCACGGUAGGAUUCAUGACCUGAUUGGGAAUACGUAACAAGGUAA
rnacentral:rRNA from 1 species